ACCCGGAAACUGCAUUGAAUACUAUUCUGCUUGAGGUUUGGAGGGGGGACUGGAAUUCUCGGUGUAGCAGUGAAAUGCGUAGAUAUCGAGAGGAACACCAGUGGCGAAGGCGAGUCCCUGGACAACACCUGACACUGAGGCACGAAAGCUAGGGGAGCAAACAGGAUUAGAUACCCUGGUAGUCCUAGCCGUAAACGGUGCAUAUUUGCUGUAAAAGGAAUCGACCCCUUUUGUGGCGUAGCUAACGCGUUAAAUAUGCCGCCUGGGAAGUACGGUCGCAAGAUUAAAACUCAAAGAAAUUGACGGGGGCCUGCACAAGCGGUGGAGUAUGUGGCUUAAUUCGAUGCAACGCGAAGAACCUUACCUGGCCUUGACAUGUACGUAGUAGAAGGAUGAAAGUCUGACGAGGUAGCAAUACCAGCGUACACAGGUGCUG
rnacentral:rRNA from 1 species